ACCUGGAAGGUCUGCUGGAAUCCCUGGAUGGAUGUGGGGAAGGAGGGAUAGGGACAAGUAUUACAUCUCCUGCAGUUGCAGGGGAAACUACCUGUGUAUUAUUACAAAA